rnacentral:piRNA from 1 species
ACUUUAAUGGGAAUGAUGAAGAAGAUCUU